rnacentral:rRNA from 1 species
AGGGGGCUAGCGUUGUCCGGAAUCAUUGGGCGUGAAGAGCGUGUAGGCGGUCCGGUAAGUCCGCUGUGAAAGUCGGGGGCUCAACCCUCGAAUGCCGGUGGAUACUGUCGGGCUAGAGUGCGGAAGAGGCGAGUGGAAUUCCUGGUGUAGCGGUGAAAUGCGCAGAUAUCAGGAGGAACACCUAUUGCGAAGGCAGCUCGCUGGGACGUAACUGACGCUGAGACGCGAAAGCGUGGGGAGCAAACAGG